UGCUGUUCAACCAAUGAAAGCGUCCUUGUGUUUAAAUAGCCCUCGCCAUUAGCUCUCUCUCCCCCUCAGUUGCUUUUACUUGCAAUCGCCAUAUUGGUCUCUCGGAUGACUUGGUGUUUUUUUCGAUAGGAAUUACUACGAGACAGGAGUGUAGACGGGAGUGACUUCUUCAGACCUACAUACUUUCAUGCAAUCACUUGUUCCUUAUAUGCCACAUUGACUGCGUUGCUCUUUUUUGCGCUUUUUUCUCUAUUUUGGCAUGCCUGCUUUCAUGCGUGCUCGUCGUCUAAUCGUUUUUUAUUACGGGAAUAAUUACGUGUUUGUGAUUUGAGCUGUAAUCUCGACAGAAGCUACUUGUUUGUUUUUGCACCGAGUUUCAUGUGGCAAAAUGUCGGACGUGCGUCUUUCUAAUGGAAGUCCGCCACUGGAGCGCGUGGACGCGAGACCGGAGGCUCCCAGCAAGCCGUCGGUGUGCAGGAACCUGUUCGGGUCGCCGGACCCGGGGGAAGUAAGACGAGCGUAUCUGGACGAGCUACGGGACUCGGAAGUAGCGUUCAGGGAGAAAUAUAACUACGACUUUGUGAAGGACACGCCGCUUGAGCCCGGUAGAUACGAGUGGGAGGCUGUGGACGCAAGAGACGCGCCCGAGGUUUACAGCAGGCCGCCGCGUAAAACCGCACCAGUGGAUCUUAACGGGACUCAGACGGACUGCCAAAAAACUCCAAGCGCCGCGAAGAAAAGACCUUCCCUGGAGGACCCGGGUAAAUCCAGCGGGAUACUCAGAUUCUGCACGGCAAAGUAAAAGAGUGACCCAUGGAGAGGAAGGCAGCAGCAGUCAAGAAAGAGCAGAGCAGACACCCACAAAAUCAGAACCCAGCACGUAAAACGACUUGCAUGCAAAGGGAGAUGAAGAAUGUGUGUUUCUCCAUCAAAGAGCUUUAUGAAGUAAACAGGGACAGCUAUUCGAAAAAUAGCAUUUCCUUCUCUAAGGAUGUGCAAGACAGUAGAAGCACUGAUUUUUUUUUUCUUUUUCUUUUUACACUAAAGUUUUGGCACUCAAAAGACAUUUGCCUCAAAAAGCAGACAAUGUAGCAGUGUGCAAAUGGUUUUCCUUUUUGCUUUUGUCUUUACUACCUAUGUAAAUAAUUAUAUGUAGCAUAUUAAAAUAUAACAUUAUGAUGAGAAAAAUCAUAUAGUGUGAAUGACUUGAAGAAUUGCUGUGCAGUUUUCAAAACAACCCCAACAAACCUCCCAGAUUAAAGUGAAAAAAAAAAAAAUUAGGAUCUAGGAAGUUAAAUAAGGUAUCAGUAUCAUCAGGGUAUAAAACAAGUUGGAUCAAUUUAAAAAUCAUUAAAAUAACUCGAGUUCCCCAUAAAUGAGAAAAAAAAAGUUAAUGGUUGCAAGGGAACUUAUGUACAACUAUAUGAGACACCAGUACUUAAAUGUGGGAUUUUUUAAAAAUAUAAAUAAAAUACCUAUUGUUGGUGGUGAUACCAUAGAAGAGUGUAUGGUACUUAAUUAUGUGAAGUUUAUUUAAAAUCUGCCAAAGUCACAACACAUUCAGGCAGGGAUAUUCCUUUUUUAAGGGUGUGGUUUUAUGGUUUUGACAGUGUUUCACAGUAUUAUUAUAUCCCUGGGAUAUUCCACUAGUUUUCCCCUUAGAUUAUGUUUUGUAAGUUGCUUAUGAAUGACAACCUACUGAGUAAAUAAUGAUUUUAAAAAGAAACUGAAAUUAACAGCAAAUUUUCUUCAGUCACCUUUUUCUUGCAUUGCAAUUUUUUUGAUAAUUUUUUUAAACACUGGUCCAUUUUUUUUUAAAUAGUCCACAAAUCUUGUCUUUUGCAUUCACACACGGUAUUCAUGUUGAACAUGAUGUUCCACUAUCCCCACAAAAAUAAACAUAAAACAAAAACUAGACGUUACACUGCAUGUGUAAAAUUCUGAAGUGUACCUGUGUAUAUUGCUUGUAAAAACACUGAGGACAUUAUACUAACUUAUUUAUGUUAAGCUUUUUUUGUGGUUUAAGAAUAUCCAAAGUGGCAUUUGUGUUUGUUUUUUUUUUUGUUUUUUUUUUAGUUUUUUUUUAAACUACUUUUUUUAACUGAAAUGUUUAUUUUCAAAUUUUGAAAAGAAAUUGUUCAAGGUUGCAAACUGAGCCUAUAUUAAAUUUUGAUGUGGAUUUUGUAUUGCUCAUUUAAAGAGAUGAUUAAUAAAAAAAAUGACAAACACUCAA